rnacentral:rRNA from 1 species
UACGGCGGAACACGAGAAAUUCCGUCGGAAUCCGCGGGGACCAUCCCGCAAGGCUAAAUACUCCCUAGUGACCGAUAGUGAACCAGUACCGUGAGGGAAAGGUGAAAAGCACCCCGGAAGGGGAGUGAAAUAGAUCCUGAAACCGUGUGCCUACAACAAGUCAAAGCUCGUUAAUGAGUGAUGGCGUGCCUUUUGUAGAAUGAACCGGCGAGUUACGAUUGCAUGCGAGGUUAAGUCGAAGAGACGGAGCCGCAGCGAAAGCGAGUCUGAAUAGGGCGAAUGAGUAUGUAGUCGUAGACCCGAAACCAUGUGAUCUACCCAUGUCCAGGUUGAAGGUGCGGUAAAACGCACUGGAGGACCGAACCCACGUACGUUGAAAAGUGCGGGGAUGAGGUGUGGGUAGCGGAGAAAUUCCAAACGAACUUGGAGAUAGCUGGUUCUCUCCGAAAUAGCUUUAGGGCUAGCCUCGGAAUUGAGAAUGAUGGAGGUAGAGCACUGUUUGGACUAGGGGCCCAUCUCGGGUUACCGAAUUCAGAUAAACUCCGAAUGCCAUUCAUUUAUAUCCGGGAGUCAGACUGCGAGUGAUAAGAUCCGUAGUCGAAAGGGAAACAGCCCAGACCACCAGCUAAGGUCCCAAAAUAUAUGUUAAGUGGAAAAGGAUGUGGGGUUGCACAGACAACUAGGAUGUUGGCUUAGAAGCAGCCACCAUUUAAAGAGUGCGUAA